rnacentral:rRNA from 1 species
CGGUUAGACUCGAUGUCCGAGUAAAGGUUAAUAAGUGUAAGGUUAAGUAAAUUAGGUCGGACGGGUGCUGUACAUUCAAUGUAAUAAUAAGUGAAAUUUGUCUAUUAGUUUUAAAUUGAAUGUAAGCUCUAGCGGACUUGAACUGAGGCCUAGAAGAUUUAGGUAAGGACCAGGAUUAGAUACCCUGUUACUCUAAUAGGAGCAACUAAAAAAACUUGAGUAUUAGUAAUAAAUUAAUUUUAAAUUCAAAGAACCUGGCGGUACUUUAGUCUAGUUGGAGGAACCUGUUUUAUAAACGAUAAACCACGUAAAAUCUUUCUUGUUCUUGUACAGUUAGUAUACCUUCAUUAGAGAUAAUCUUGGUUGAUUGAUUAUUGCAAUUGGUGAGAGACAUCAAGUAAAUUAGAUCAAGGUGCUGCAGAUGGACAAGUAAAAAUGGGUUACAAUAAUUUCUAGUAUUGGGCGGAUUAUACUUAGAAUGGGUAUAUGAAGAUGGAUUCAAUUGUAAUUUUAACUUUAAUAAGGUAAAAUGGUAUUAGCUCUAAAGUGUGUACAUAUUGCCCGUCGCUUUCAUUAAGUUAGAUGAGAUAA